rnacentral:rRNA from 1 species
AACGAACGCUGGCGGCAUGCCUAACACAUGCAAGUCGAACGAGACCUUCCGGUCUAGUGGCGCACGUGUGCGUACCGCGUGGGAACCUGCCCUUAGGUUCGGUAUAACUCCCCGAAAGGUGUGCUAAUACCGGUUAAUGUCUUCGGACCAAAGAUUUAUCGCGUUUGGAUGGGCCCGCGUUGGUUUAGCUAGUUGGUAGUGUAAAAGCCUACCAAGGCGACGAUCCAUAGCUGGUCUGGGAGGAUGAUCAGCCGCAAUGGAACUGAGACACGGCCCAGACUGGUACGGAAGGGAGGAGAAGAGAAUAUUGGGGGAGGAGGGAAGGUGUAACAAAGCAGUGCGGGGGAAGAGAGGAAGGGGGUAGGGUUGUAAAGUUGUCUGAGACGGAGUGAGAGUGACAGUACCGGGAGAAGAAGCACCGGCUAACUACGUG